GUGGGGAAUCUUCCGCAAUGGACGAAAGUCUGACGGAGCAACGCCGCGUGAGUGAUGAAGGUCUUCGGAUUGUAAAGCUCUGUUAAUCGGGACGAAAGAGCCUAGUGUGAAUAAUGCUAGGAAGUGACGGUACCGGAAUAGAAAGCCACGGCUAACUACGUGCCAGCAGCCGCGGUAAUACGUAGGUGGCAAGCGUUGUCCGGAAUUAUUGGGCGUAAAGCGCGCGCAGGCGGAUCUGCCAGUCUGUCUUAAAAGUUCGAGGCUUAACCCCGUGAUGGGAUGGAAACUACAGAUCUAGAGUAUCGGAGAGGAAAGUGGAAUUCCUAGUGUAGCGGUGAAAUGCGUAGAUAUUAGGAAGAACACCAGUGGCGAAGGCGACUUUCUGGACGAAAACUGACGCUGAGGCGCGAAAGCCAGGGGAGCGAACGGGAUUAGAUACCCUGGUAGUCCC
rnacentral:rRNA from 1 species